GCUUGCUCCACGAAUUGAGAGAUCAAGAAGGAUCGAGAGAGCCAGAAAGGAUCGAGAAGGAUCGUCAGUGUGCAGGUGUGUUUCUUUGCUUUCCGAAGAGAGAGAGAGAGAGAGGAGUUAUUCAGGAUCGAGAGAGUGCAGGGGGAGAGGUUUGGACUGGAAACAAAGAAAACGACGUAUCUUGGUAUUAUUGCUGUGGUGUGGCUGCUCUGGUUUUUGGAUUCAAGAAGUUACCUGAAGUGGGUUGGAGGGCGAAGAGGGUCUCAUCACUGAACGGUACUGUUAAUCUCAGGUUGAAGAAAACAGAAGAAGUGUUGCUGGGUUUGGGAUUUCAGUGGUUGAAGAAAACAGAAGAAGCAUUGCUGGGUUUGGGAUUUCAAUGAUUGAUUGGGAGAGGUUGAAGAUAAGGUUUUGAUUUUCGGUCUGCACCAGAAUGAUUGACAUCAAAGAAGAAAGAAUUUUAUCAUUAAAUACUUGCCAAGGCUGUAGCGCAUUUCUUUCGAUUGAAGUUUCUGGUCAUAACUUGGUCAGAGUAGCUCCUAGAGACAGCACUUGAAGAAUGCAGUCAUGAUUUGGAUUCGGCUAUCAGAAGUUUGAAUAAGCUACGCUUAAGUUCUGUUGCAAAUAAAUCUGGUACAGCCUCAGAAACAAGUGUUUAACCCCAUGCACAAGGUGCGCUAGCAGCAAAUGGAGAAGCUUCUGGUAAUGAUGAUCUAUCAGGUCAAAAGAACCUGCUCACGCAAGAAGUUUCCUACCUUCAUAUUCCAUGGAUCUGCAGAUGAGUCCACUUCAGUUGAAGAUGCAUUUGAGUCUGCCAAUGAAUUAGAUCAGUGCUAAACCCCCAUUGUAGAAACUUGAUACCACCUUGGUUAAAAUACCAGCUGUGCCACUGCUUUCUCUUUGGCUUUUUACCUGAUUGCCCAGACAGGUGUACGUACGAAGAACGAUCGAGACUUCGAGAGAGUUCAAGUAUAUAUGACAAAUCUGCUCUGGCUUUUCUUCAAGAAAGGUCUGCCCAUAAAGAUUUACUUUGUUCUUUUCUUAAAGCCUUAGUCUUUUUCAUGUUGGUCAUUGCGAUUUUGACUUCUAUACAUCAAUUUGGAACCACUGCUUACCAAGAAAGGAAGAAUUGUCGUUGGAGUGGUGUAUAUACAACGAGCUUGCUUCACAGAGGAUUUAUGAGAUAGCCAGGAUUAGACAAACUUCACUUGCGGGAAGCUCAACUUCAAGUUCGGCACUUGGAUGUAAUGUAAAUGGAUUAUACAUGUUGAAGGAGCCAACAUCUCCACUGUUUUUCCACUCCGAGAAGCCUCUCCAUCAACAUCACGAUCACUCAAAAGCUUGAGGUUCAAAAAUUUGGUGAGAUCGCAAAACAACCUAUGUCAGAAGGUGAUAAUUCUGCAAAGUCUGUUGACCCCAAAUUAUCAUAUCGAUUGUUUUACCUCAAUGCAAUUUUUUCGUAGACUGAGUUCAACUGAAUGAUAUCGUUAAUGACAUAUCAGACAAGAGCUCAACUCAUAUAUAUCAUAUGAGCAAUUGAAGAGUGAACGAGGAAGCCAUGGAUUGGAGAGUGAUACUAUUUACUGGCAUUGAACUUUUCCCUCAACGAAUGAGCUUUUCUUCUGUAAAGGGAGAAGAUAAGCAAAUUUUAUAAAAGAUUUGGAGUAUUUCUUCUCCUUUAUGUUCAAAUUUUUUUGUUUUUGCACAGGCAGAAGCAAUAAUCAAAAACGAAUAUACAUCACUACUUGGAGAUGAGGCAAAGGGUUGGUUGGAUACCACAUAUCUGUCCCAAUCUGGCAAUUUUCGUAUCUCAAGAAGAAAUAAGUGCAGGGAACAACAUUUGUUCUGCAAGAGAGAGCUGAACUUAGGCAAAGACUAUUGUCAAUCAUGUCCACUGGUACAAGAGUUAAAGAGGUAAUCGAGGAGUUUAUUUCCUUAUAUCAAAGUAUAGGUGAAUUGGAACUCCAAGAAGGGGAAUGGGAAAUGGUUUGAGUUGACAGGUUGUUGCUGGGUUCUGAAGAUCUUUGUUAGCAAAACGAAUAUCAAUAGAUAUGGAAACUUGCUCAAACGCAGUGUCAGAUCCAAUGCCUAAGCGGAGAAAAAGUAAGAGAGAUUUACUUUUGCAAAAUGCUGAAAGUGUUGAUAAACGCAAACGAAGAAGGACUACAUCUGCUGAAACAAGCUGCAAUUCUGGUCCGAGUAUGUCCAACAUUCAAGAAGUUGAAAAUGUCGUUUCACAUGAACACAGCAUUGGACAAGCGUCAUAUGAAAGAAACAGGCACGGGCUGCUUGGAUAUCUCUGCGAGGUAGGCUUGGGUUUGUUUUGGAAGAGGUGUGCUGAGAUUGUGAUCGAGUUUAGGAGACGGGCUUCGGGAGCAAAAGAGGAUAUGUUUGCUGGAACAAGGGACAACGUUGAAAACCAAUCUUGGUCUGAAGACCAAGAUAGUGGCAGCAUCCAUUCAUUUUAUGAUAUUACUGCUAAUCCACUUGAUAAACAAGCAUCCGGAUCAAAAUCUGAUAAGAGGAGGCGAUUAAUGUUAGAGAGUUCCGUUGAUAGCAGUAUUCAAGUGAGAGCAUCGCUACUAAAAUCAGACAAGAGGAAGCAGUUAAUAUCACAAGGUGGAGUUAAUAAUGAGUGCAUGAACAAUUUACUUGGAUGUGAGUUGCAAGCUGGGACAAGUAAAAUUGGCCAAGCCUCAUAUCAAAAAAGUAUUCAAGGUUCAAAUUUAUCAGAUACUCAUGCUUAUCACAGUCUACAUAGCAACUACAUUUUUAUAUGUUUAUCAAAGUAUCAAUCACAUGUUUAUAUGUUUAUCAUUUCAAUGUAAUAUAUCUAUAACGUAGAACAAUGUGUUUCAAUGUAAUAUAUCUAUAUAUCUGGAACGUAGUUUUGAUGUAAAAUUCAACCAUAUCAAUAGUAUACCCGCAGCACCGCGCGGGCCUUCUGCCUAGUUUA